AGAGUUAGAAAAUAACUUCUUCACAGUGAAGAGAGGAGGAGAUGUUCCUGGCGAGCCUGGUUAACAUUUAUUCACAUUUAUUAGUUUAAAAGCUACUAAUAUUUAUAUGUGGCUCUGCAGUUCAGAUCUGUUCAUAAGUUUCUGGUAACAUUUUCAUUUCGACUUGUACAUUUUUUUUUAAUUACUAUUAAUAACUAGUGAAACAGCUUGUUGAUAGAAACACAUUAAGUGAGAUAGUUAAAUAUCUGAGUGUUUCUCUGUUUCUGCUGCUGUUUGCUGACCUGUAGUGAACUUUUUCACAGUCUGUGGUAGAAUCCAUUUAAUUUACUGGAACAGUAGCAGAAAAUGAACCAAUGGGCUGCUAAGCGUGCGCAAUGCCCUGCCCCAAUACGAGCGCGGAAGAAUCACACCACGUGUCCAGGCAGCUGGGCGGAGCCAAGAUGUUCAAGAGAGAUGCCAAGAAUGUAAAAAAAAAAAAAAAAGGAGGCUUGAUAAUAGAUGUGUCUCUCUGGUUUACGUGCAGCUCUACCCGUCACACCCACGGACCGCGCAAACCCCAAGAAAGUCUGCAGAACAUGAGACGGUCUCCAACGCUGACACGCUUAAAGCCAGUAACGGCCUAAAUGAUCGCUGUUCAAAGUUUGAAGAAAUGGUAAUCAAAAAUACAGCUGAGAUUGCAAUAAGAUAAGAAAGGGCUGCAAAUCCAGUGGAAAGGAACAGAUGACACAGUGAAGACGAUGAAAGAACAGAUCGCAGGAGGAAACAAGAAGAUCCAGAGCGUGACAGCAGGAGAACCUCCGACUUCUGAAUCUACCAGAAAGCAACAAUGAGGAUGUGAGAAAGGAGGUGCUGGAGGUCACUGCUGAAAUCAUCCCAGAGGAAAAGAGCCAAGACGGGAUAAAAGCACCCGCCCCGUCCUCAUACAGUUUACCACCAUGCGCACCUUCAGACUGAAGGUUUGGAGAGCUUCUCUCAACGCCGAUGUCAUGAAGGAAAAGAAUCUCACUCAGCUGGAAAGACUCUGGCCUCGAGUGAAGCAAGCUGAUGGAAAGAAGACCAAAUGGCAGGAACCUGCUGUCGUUAUCGAUGGUGUGAGACUCUGAGAAAGUUAAACGACUUUUAAUCACAUUCUGGAGGAACCUUGAGAAUUACAUAUAUUCUAAAACAACACAUACAAUCACAGUUGAAAGGAAAAAUGUCAUUAGCUACUUUGAAUCUAAAGAUAAGAACUUA